AUGUACUCGUCCCAGUCGCUAAGCCGCGUCAACAACAUCCGCACCUCCCUCAUCAAUGCGCAAAAGGGAAAUCAAUCCGUCGCAUCCUACUUCGCCUCCAUGCGCGGACUGGCUGAUGAACUGGCGGCGGCCGGCAAGCCGAUUCAAGAUGAUGAACUCAUCUCCUACAUCCUCCAUGGCCUGGAUCAGGACUAUCAGCCCCUGGUCUCGGCCCUGGACGCCCGCGUCACGCCCGCCUCCCUCGACGAACUCUUCUCCAUGCUCAGCAACUUCGACCAAUGCAUGGCGCAAUUCCACGGCUCCGGCGGCAGCGGCUUCAAGUCUUCUGCCAACGCCGCAUCUCGUGGUCAUGGCGGCGGCUCUCGCUCGCGUGGCCCCUCUCGUGGCAUGGGGCGGUCAAGUGGCGCUGGACACAGCGGCGACGGCGGGCGAUCUGGCAAUAGGGGCGCCGCGGUGGUGGUUCUGGCAGGUCUCGCCCGGACCCUCCACGCUGUCAGAUUUGCGGCAAGCCGGGCCACACGGCCAGGGACUGCUGGUACCGCUACGAGGAGGAUGAAGAUGAAUCCCAAGAUGAGGACAAGAUCGCCACAGCUGCAGAUGGCUCCUAUGGUGUUGACACCAAUUGGUAUGUCGACAGCCGCGCCACGAACCAUAUAA
rnacentral:rRNA from 1 species